UCCUUAUACCAUGUUGUCUUGAUCAUGCUGGGGCAACUAGAAUCAUUCUGGCGAAUCUUGUUUUAUUUUCUUUGAGGGUUAGGAGAAAUGCAUUUACACCAGACACAUUCUCCAAUGUAGGAGGAAUGUGUCCUUCAAUGACUGUUCAUCUGAGCCUGGUCUCAAGCAAAAACAAGCACAUUUUGUAAUGAAUCUUUCAGUGACUAGAUCUAGGUCAUGAAUUCCCCAAAGGUUGAAACUGUUCUGAAUCAUUGAGUCCUUAAGAUACCAUGUAUGCAUCUGCAAGGAAUCUCUGCUCAGAUGAUCUGCAAGCUCCCUGUGUCGUCCUGCAACACAUAAGGCAAUUGGAGAAAUGUUGUAUAGGAUACACCAGUCCAAGUUUUGUCACCUCAUGGCAUAGGUGAGAUGAUUAAGUUUCUCCUUGUUUGUUCACAUAAUAAACUGCAGACAUGUCAUCCAUGGCCACCUGGAUUACCACAUCCUGAAUCUCCAGAAGAAAUGCCUUGAGAACCAGCUGAAUGGCCUUCAGUUCUAACACAUUUAUGUGUAGUAAGGAUUCCUUAUCGUUCCAAAGACCUCAAAUGUAAAGGUUGAGGAGGUGUGUGCCCCUGCCUAUUCUGGACUCAUCUAUUGUUUGCAAAGGAGGAAGUGGAUUGAACAAUACUCCCUUGAGGACAUCUUGUGGUUUCAGUCACCAUAUUAGAAAGAAGCACCUUUCUCAGAAUGAAAUGUGUUAAUGACCACACAAGAAGAAAACGUACUGCUUCCUCUGGGUAUAACUAACAUGAAAACAAUUCUACAAUUCACGAGACCCUGACUUGCUACUCAAGCACUGAACACAUUAACAGCGUACCACAAGCUCAUAAAAGCCAGGAGAUACCCGAGAGUCUUUGUCAGCACUGUAUCUCAAAGGCUUCAAUUUUCUUCUUGAUACGCUUCAAGAUGCAAGAGUUUUUCCAAACUUUCAUGAGGGAGGCCACGGACAUGAAGCACUCUGAGAACUUCCUUAUGAGAUCUGAACAACAAAACAAUAGCAAUGCUAUUUGUUGGGAGCCUCUCCCAUCUUGCUACACAGUGACAUGGAAAUCAGUCCCCCAGAGGGCGGAGAAGCAGUAUCUUCAACCCUAAUGUUCCAAAUUCAUUAGACAGACAUCCUCGCACACACAAAUCAUGGGACUGGCUUAAAAAUCGUGCAUUUAAAAAAAAUUAAGUUUGGGUUCUUUUUACCUUGUGCUUUUUGAACAUUUAAGGGUCACAUAUUUCUUUGCAACCAUAGGACUAGAAACUUCAUUGAAACAAAAAACCACAAAAGCUGAGAUUCUCACAUAAGUGUCAGGACUCCAAGAAGACCACCAAACAUCAUGAGACUCACAAUCAGCUCAGGAGAGAUGGCAGCAUUAGAGAAGUGAAAGGGGGAAAUUCUGGAAAGACAGAAUAAGCUCUCUCAUGGGAGCAGAGGCACAGAUCCCAGGUUAUCUUCUUCAAACUCCACUCAUUGCUGCUGAUACCAGGGACCUAUGCUCCUCAAUGCAGCAUUGAGGCCUUUUGGAAAGCUCCAGGUCCUUAUCAGCACUGCCGAUCCUGCUCUUCUUACAAAGUAACUGGGACCCUACUUGUGAAAUAUAGGAGUUUAAAGGAUUUAUUUUGCAAGCUACUAAGCAACGCUCAACUCCUACUGAACUAAAUUGGAGGUUACUCAGAUUCUCACAGCACCAGGCUCAAAUGCUGUUAUUAGUCCUCAACUCCUGGGAGCAGAUCCAUGAACUCUCUCAUCCUUAUUUCAAAAUGUUACAACAGGAUGCAAUUAAGUGCAAUUAACAAAGGGGUCAAAUGGUCAUCUGAUAAACCCUGGUCCAAAUAGGCAGCCUGGAAAGGUCAGGCUGCACAGUACUGAUGAGAGAAAAAAUAGUAUAAUUUAAGGACUUUUUUAAAAAGGAAAAAUAAUAAUCCCAGUGUAUUAAACUAGAGAGACUUGUGUGCUUUCUGUGUUUUAUCUUUAUUAUGUAGAGACAUUUCAUAGUAAGUUUGCACAAUUUUAUACCUUACAGUCAAUAACUGGGCAAGUCUCACAAUACCUGAGUGAGUUAGGCAGCUUCCCUGGAACUUAAAUCUGAGUUUUACUGCUUUAGUCUUAAUAAUUCUUUGUUUCAUCUACAUGACUGUCUGUCUUAAUAAAUAUGUCUUGAAGAUUAUGAUUCACACCAAUCCACUGACAUCUCCUUUUAGAACAAUGACACUCUGAAAUCCCCAGGAAGAAUGCACAGUACAAGCGCAAGGGACUACAAAGCUCUCAAGAGCUAAAUCCUAUACAAAGUUCACAGCCAGAGUAAAAAUAGGGUUCGUGGAGGACAGAAGCCACGGGAUUUAUGUGGUUGCAGAUCCACCACGUCUACCUCUACUGGACAAACAGGGGCUCAGACCUCUUGUUGGUCCCCCAAAUUCUGCCUCCACCACUGGGUGAAACCAGUCUUAGACCAAUUCUGAAACAUCUUUGGCCCUCUGUGCUUAUGGAGAGAAAGCAAGGUUUGUCCUAGGGUAUUAGAGCUCACAAAGCAUGUAAGCUCCAUACAAGCAUCUUUAUUUUACAGAUGGAGAAACCGAGGCAGGGCAUCUUCGUUUAGAAACAAUCUCUCUGGUUUUCUCCCUAAUUGUUUCUUGGACACCCCAGGGACUGUCCUUUAGGUCUGGGCUGCAACCAUGGCUGAGGUAGACUCUCCAGCUGCUCAGCCUCCAUAUAGCUUUCCACGUUCCACACAGCAAGUACGACUCACUUGAGGGUGACCAAUUAGACCUCAGAAUGGCAAUCUAUUUCAUCUAGGACAGAGAAGGACUAAUACUCACUGGCAACCUGGGAGAUGCCCUGGGUUAAAGAACCUCUGGAGAAGCUGCUCCAAAACUAUCUUAUUAUAGGGCCAUUGCCUGAGCCUGCUAUUUUCCAUCAUAAAUCACAGCAAAACCAUUUGCUGUUGGUGGGCUGCACGCUGGUCUUGCUGUUCCAUCAUCCACCCUCAGGAUCUCUACCAUUUUCCCCCUUCCAUACCUUCUUUGAAGAGUGGGUUCAAAGAAUCCUGUGGCACCUUACAUGAUGUGUGACCAGGUGCCAUUCUCCACCUGAUCUAAAGCAAAGCCCUGUGUAGAGUCACCACUACCUCCCUUCCUGUGGUUUGGUUUUAUUCAUAGAUGCUAAGGCAAGAAGGGACUACUGUAAUCAUUGAAUCUGACCUCCUAUAUAGCACACACCAUAGAA